rnacentral:lncRNA from 1 species
GGCAAUGCCUCCCAGGCUUGGGAGCUGGGAAAAGGCCCCAGGAGCUAGGGCAUCCUGAUUGUUCUUUCAAAGAAAUCCCUCUUGUUCUUAGUCAACAUGCUGGAUACCAGCUAAAAAAUGCAAAAUGAUCUUCAGGCAGGGAUGGCACAGGACCCUUGCUGAGCUGUGAAGCCUGGCUGUGAGGAUUCCUGCAUGGAAACAUCAACAUGUUGCCAGAUUGGUAUACGACUCAACACCACACUGUUUGAUUGGAGUUGAGCUGAUCUUGUCUGAACCUAGCUGGGCCUGGUCCGGGGCGGCAAAUUAGAUUCAGAUUCUCCGGAGAAAAAGGCUGGCUCGCAAGAGGAUGCCAGAAGAGUGACAUCUCCCUCAUCAGCGCUUUGCCUCUUAAGACAUGCUGCUCCCAAACAGUGCCUUUGAAUCAAGACCCAGUCAUCGUAUUCGAAGAAAAAGGAAAUAUCCCUGACCAUGUUGGGACUUAACACUGCUUCACAGAGCUACCCAAACCAAGGAGAAUACCAACGUGAAUUGUCUUUCCACCUGUUGUGUGGGGCCAGCAAUUAUUCUUUUAGCUUGACGCGUUAACCCACCUGCUCCCUGUGGCCCUGGGAUGCUCUGCCAUCCCCCGUGGCUGCCAGUUCACUUAGGGUAGACUUAUGGCAGAGGGAUGUCAAUUUUGCUUGAACUGCUCAAUCACUGCUGACAUUUCGUUAACCACCCUAUGAACUUCUCAAGCCUGAAGUAGCAGCAACUUGUGCCCUUGAAAACUGAACAGAAAACAACUGUAUUGAUUUUCUACUAUCAACAAGAAAAAGACAAUUUCUCUUUGCUGAGAAUGUUCAUAAUGCAUUUUACACCACUUAUUCUCGGCAGUCCACCUCUUCCUGAUAUAUUGUUGGGCCUCUUUAAACCCCUGCUGCUUUAGACUCUGCUAGAAUUAACCCUGAAAUGCCAGCACCAUCUCAAGCCCUUCCAGUUCCCGGAUAGAAAUGUUCAUCAGUGCUGAAUUGACAGCCUACUUAGGCAAGGGAGCUGUGAUCAUUUAGAAAUUACAAAGGAACUCAGGCCUGGGUGAAGGGUUUGGGGUUGGGACACUAGGAAUCUCUUUUAGUAAAAUUCUCUUUUAAAAGAA